rnacentral:tRNA from 1 species
GGUUCCAUGGUGUAGUGGUGAGCACGUCUGCUUUACAUGCAGGAGGUCCCGGGUUCACGCCCCAGUGGAGCCC